CUAGUAAGACCCCUUAUAGACGAUGAGGUUGAUAGGUUCGGUGUGGAAGUGCAGUAAUGCAUGGAGCUGACGAAUACUAAUCGGUCGAGGACUUAUCCAC
rnacentral:rRNA from 1 species